CAGCCUAAAGAUUGGAACAUGUUCGCUAGGACUUGGCUGGUGCAUCGAGUGGCUUGGAGAUUGGUUGAAUCUACUAAGACUUGAGUACUCAGAACGCAACCUGGAGAGUUGGGUCAGUGACACAAGUCAUAUCUUUGUAUGGGUGCUUGAUGAACCACUUGAUAAGAUUUUGGGUUAAAUAUCUAUCAAGGGGGGAGACUUGUUGUGUAUAUGAUGACCAAGACGUGGUCAGUGAGAAGGAACAAGGUGGGAGAUGCAACGAAUUGGUUAGAAAGAACCAAUCGAGCAUGCUCCAUGUUCCGGGUACAAAGGAGUUCGGAUGGAACCUUUGUCAUGAGACAAGAGGUUAA